rnacentral:rRNA from 1 species
UCCGUAGGCGGGUCAUUAAGUCAGAGGUGAAAUCCCACAGCUUAACUGUGGAAUUGCCUUAGAUACUGGUGAUCUUGAGUUUUAGUGAAGUAGAUAGAAUGUGUAGUGUAGCGGUGAAAUGCAUAGAUAUUACACAGAAUACCGAUUGCGAAGGCAGUCUACUAACUAACAACUGACGCUAAUGGACGAAAGCGUGGGGAGCGAACAGGAUUAGAUACCCUGGUAGUCC